rnacentral:rRNA from 1 species
UACGUAGGGGGCAAGCGUUGUCCGGAUUUAUUGGGCGUAAAGAGCGUGUAGGCGGCCAGGCAGGUCAGCUGUGAAAACUCGAGGCUCAACCUCGAGACGUCGGUUGAAACCACCUGGCUAGAGUCCGGAAGAGGAGAGUGGAAUUCCUGGUGUAGCGGUGAAAUGCGCAGAUAUCAGGAAGAACACCCGUGGCGAAGGCGGCUCUCUGGGACGGUACUGACGCUGAGACGCGAAAGCGUGGGGAGCGAACAGG